GGCGAGAUGGCCGAGCGGUCUAAGGCGCCAGACUAAGGAUCAGCACAUCCGAUGUGCAGUAUAUCUGGUCCUCCGGGGCGUGGGUUCGAAUCCCACUCUCGUCA
rnacentral:tRNA from 1 species